GCGUCUUCGUUAGAUCACCGAAGUCAAGCAUCAUUGGGCGCGGUCAGUACUUGGGUGGGUGACCACCUGAGAACACCGCGUGCCGUUA